AUUUUUAAACCUUUGUCCCUCUAAUUUAAGACUAUGUCCUCUUGUUGUGGUAGUUUUUCUUCUUUUAAAUAUAGUUUCCUCCUUUACUGUGUUGAUUCCCUUUAUGUAUUUAAAUGUUUCUAUCAUAUCCCCCUGUCUCGUCUUUCCUCCAAGCUUUACAUGUUAAGAUCCUUUAACCUUUCCUGGUAGGUUUUAUCCCGCAAUCCAUGAACCAGUUUAGUAGCCCUUCUCUGAACCCUCUCUAAGGUAUCAAUAUCCUUCUGAAGAUACGGUCUCCAGUACUGUGUACAAUACUC